GAUGACGCCACUUUCCACUCAGAGUACUAAGUGGCGGGGGAAACAAGCCCUUCCACAGGCUGCCCACCUCUGCGGAGGGGUCAGCCGAAUUGUGGAGGACGGGGAUCGACGGGCCGGGUCCGGACUCCAUGAUGAAUAUUUUCAAGGGGUGAGACCCAAGAUUCGAACCCGGGUUCUUCAGAAUGGAAAGCCGAAGCGUUUCCACGCGACCAAUCCGGCCGACAGAAAAUGGAGGUUUAUAAGAUCGGGCAAAUGUCAGUCUGUGCUAUCCCCACUAAUAAACUUUUGAACUAAUUAACAAAUUUUCAUAAAAUUUUGUAUUAAUGUUCUGCCAUUAAACGACACCUUGACGCCACAUCCUGUAAUCCUGCAA
rnacentral:lncRNA from 1 species